AUGAACGCUGGCGGCGUGCUUUAUGCAUGCAAGUCGCACGGUCUUUUUCGCAAGAUGAGGAUAGUGGCAGACGGGUGAGUAACACGUAAGUAACCUACCCUCAUGUGGGGGAUAAUCCGUCGAAAGGCGGACUAAUACCGCGUGUGGUCCAUUGCCGCGAGGUAGUGGACUAAAGCCGUAAGGCGCUUGAGGAGGGGCUUGCGGCCGAUUAGCUAGUUGGUGAGGUAACGGCCCACCAAGGCGAUGAUCGGUAGCUGGUUCGAGAGGACGGUCAGCCACAUUGGGACUGAGAUACGGCCCAGACUCCUACGGGAGGCAGCAGCAAGGAAUAUUGUGCAAUGGGCGAAAGCCUGACACAGCGACGCCGCGUGGGGGAUGAAGGCCUUCGGGUUGUAAACCCCUUUUCCCAGGGAAGAAAACUGACGGUACCUGGGGAAUAAGCUUCGGCCAACUACGU
rnacentral:rRNA from 1 species